GCCGGGCGCGUGGCACGUGCCUGUAGUCCCAGCUACUCGGGAGGCUGAGGCUGGAGGAUCACUUGAGUCCAGGAGUUCUGGGCUGUAGUGCGCUAUGCCGAUCAGGUGUCUGCACUAAGUUUGGCAUCAUUAUGGUGACCUCCCGGGAGCUGGGGACCGUCAGGUUGCCUAAGGAGGGGUAAACUGGCCCAGGUCGGAAAUAGAGCAGGUCAAAACUCCCUUGCUGAUGAGUAGUGGGAUCGUGCCUGUGAAUAGCCACUACACUCCAGCCUGGGCAACACAGUGAGACUCCAUCUCU
ensembl:misc_RNA Metazoa_SRP Metazoan signal recognition particle RNA